rnacentral:lncRNA from 1 species
GAAUUUUCAGACUUGCUAAAUGACUGAUAAAGGACUAACAUUUACCUACUGACAGGACUUGCAUUGGUUACACUGUGGUAAGCAGUAGACCAGAGCCUUUUCUGUGUAAAGUGCUGGCAUUCAAAGACCUACCACACGAAGUCCCAGUCCUGCAAUCAGACACAGAGAGAGCUUCCCAUGCAUCCAGAAGCCCACUACCAGCCAACAGAAACAUCAAAGAUCACUUUUGAAGGUUGCAGGAAGACUCAGCAGUACAAAUCUGGUAGCACCUCAAAGGCCUGCUAACAAAAC